UACGAAGGGGGCUAGCGUUGUUCGGAUUUACUGGGCGUAAAGCGCGUGUAGGCGGGUCGUUAAGUUGGAGGUGAAAUCCCGAGGCUCAACCUCGGAACUGCCUUCAAAACUGGCGACCUGGAGCAAGAUAGAGGCGAGUGGAAUUGCGAGUGUAGAGGUGAAAUUCGUAGAUAUUCGCAGGAACACCAGUGGCGAAGGCGACUCGCUGGAUCUUUGCUGACGCUGAGACGCGAAAGCGUGGGGAGCAAACAGG
rnacentral:rRNA from 1 species